GACCUAACGCGAACCCGAAAGGGGCAGUGGAUGGACAAGCGGUUAAUAUUCCGCUACCCGCUAUACAAUAAACGCGACGGAGAUGUGGCGUUGGUGCGCACAGACGGAAUUGUGCGUUGAAUCCUUCGUAAGGAGGAGAUAGUACAACAAGGCUACGGCUGCGUUGAUAAUCCAGCUUAACAUCUUCCUAGAAAAGCAAGUAUAGCGGCCCGUACCGUAAACCGACACAGGUGGUCGGGAUGAGUAUUCUAAGGCGCUCGAG
rnacentral:rRNA from 1 species